rnacentral:tRNA from 1 species
GGGCCUAUAGUUGAAUUGGGUAAAACGCGCCGCCCACAACGGUGAUAUUGUAGGUUCGAGUCCUACUAAGCCCA